ACAUUAUGAAUUAUUUUCACUUAUCCAAUCUUACAAUAUGGAUACUUACAAUCGUUAUCCACCUUAAUAUGGUAUCGGUAAAAUCAGAAUUAGUUCCAAUUCAGAAAGGUGAUCCAUAUGAAUGGCGAGAAAAUGGAGCAGAAACCAACUUCCUGGUAUUCAAUAGCAUAUACGCAAUAACUAUCAAUGAAGAACUAUUGACUGUAAGUGGAUAUUCUACUGGUAAAUGUGAUCAACUUAUGCCGAGUCGUAUGUCGAUUGCAGCUGAUUUACCUUAUCCAAAUAAAUGCCCAGGAAUAAUUCAUUAUUGCUGGUUCAAAGCAGAAAGCGAAAGACGGCAAGCAGCGGCAAAAAAGAAGGAUGAUUUAGAUUGACAAUUCGGGUGUACCGAUGAGGGAUAUAGAGCUCUAAUUCAUGCAUCGUUAGACUACAAUUACGUUGGUAACGACUGCUCCUGUGUUUGCGAACGUUACGAUAACGAUUCCAAUAAUCCGCGUGGUGAUUUGAUUGAUUCCAUUUGUUAUGAUCCAGUUUCAGUUGAUGACGGAUAUGUUGCAACUGGCGUGAGAUUUAAGAGACAUAGUAACAUAGUUUACCUUGAACUUCAACAAGGUAUAUUAUCAGGAGGACGAAUUGAUCCCAAUACUUUAAUGUGGAAAAGUUCUGAUAAAUGUAGUUCAGCAAAAAAAGUUGUUUAUAAUUGGUCAAGUAGUUACACUGGUCUAGAAAUUAUAUUAGAAGAUAUGAAAUUGCCAGACAAUGCAGUCGUAACAGGCAUCACAUUCGGUCAGUCAUUGCGUGGACGCUAUGUUAUUAUAUCAUUUCACUUCUCAGAGCUUAAGUUGGGAAUAUUUACUUUCAAAAAUUUAUUCAUAAGAUUUAUUUAAUAGAAUUAUUGUAACAACUUCAAAUGUGUAUUCAAUUUGUAGCCAAUUUUGAUAGAUUUAAUAGCAUAUACGCAGUAACUGUUAAGGAAGAACUGUUACGAAGUGACGGAUACUGUUCCGGUAAAUGUGAUGGACUUGAAUCAUGGCGUCAAUCUGUCAUUCCACUGUCACUAAGUUAUCCAAAUUCUUGUAAAGGUACCAUUCAUUACUGCUGGUUUCAAAAAGAAUCCGAAAGACGAAAAGAUGCCAAAAAAAAAUACGAUCUGGCGCGUAAAGCUUAUAUAGGAUUCCCCAAAAGCUCAUUCGAUAGAGAGCCAAGGGCCGUAGCCGAAAAAAGGACACAUUGGGAUCAUACUGUGUUGCAACUGGCGUGAGAUUUAAAAGACAUAGUAACGUAAUUUACCUUGAACUUCAACAAGGUAUAUUAUCGGGAGGAUGCAUUGAUCCCAAUAGUUUGAUGUGGAAAAGUACUGAUAAAUGUAAUUCAGCGAAAAAAGUUAUUCAUGGUAGGGCACCUAGUUACGGUAGUCUAGAAAUCAUAUUAGAAGAUAUGAAAUUGCCAGAGAAUGCAGUCGUAACAGGCAUCACAUUCGGUCAGUCAUUGCGUGGACGCUAUGUUAAUGACGACGGCGAUUUCAAAUAUAAUGUAGAUGAAAUUUUAAAGGAAAGUUAAUGUUCUGGGAGUGUCUCCAGCUUAUCGUCAGGUUGUUGGGGUUAUUUGUUACCUACGGCUUUGGUAGGAUCGAAUUACGAACUCAGUAAAUCAUGCGCAAAUAAAAUUUCAUUUUGUGGAUCUGAUGAGGGUUCUGGUUAUAUGCAACACGUUGUUCCGUAUGUUGACUUACAGGAGAUCGUUACCGAUCAAAAGGCGCCUGAGCCUCUUCGUGAAAUCGGUUGGUAUUAUCGCAGUCACCCUGGCUAUGGAGGAUUUUUGGCUCUCAUGAUAUUCAAAUAAUUGUAAAUAUCGGCAAAAAAUUAUAAAAG